UACAGAGGGGGCAAGCGUUGUUCGGAAUUACUGGGCGUAAAGGGCGCGUAGGCGGCCUGCUAAGUCGAACGUGAAAUCCCUGGGCUCAACCCAGGAACUGCGUCCGAUACUGGUUGGCUUGAAUCCGGGAGAGGGAUGUGGAAUUCCAGGUGUAGCGGUGAAAUUCGUAGAUAUUCGGAAGAACACCAGUGGCGAAGGCGGCUCACUGGACCGGUAUUGACGCUGAGGUGCGAAAGCGUGGGGAGCAAACAGG
rnacentral:rRNA from 1 species